rnacentral:rRNA from 1 species
GACGAACGCUGGCGGCGUGCUUAACACAUGCAAGUCGAACGAGAAGUCCCUGCUGUUGUGUUGUGCUGGAAGGGCUAACUGGUGAUUAACACGGGAGUAACCUGCCCUUGACUUUGUGAUAACUUCAGGAAACUGGGGCUAAUACCGGAUAGGAGCUCCUGCUUCAUGGUGGGGGUUGGCAAGUUUCGGCGGUUGGGGCUGGCGUCGCGGCUUAUCAGCUUGUGGGUGGGGUAGUAGCUUACCAAGGCUUUGACGGGUACACGGGCCGAGGGGGGCGCAGGCCCCGCUGGGACUGAGAUAAGGCACAGACCCAUCCGGGAGGCAGCAGUGGGGAAGAGUGCACAAUGGGCGGAAGGCUGAUGCAGUAACGCCGCGUGGGGGAUGACGGCCUUUGGGUUGUAAACCGAUUUCGCAUGUGACGAAGCGUGAGUGACGGUACUGGGUAAAGAAGCCCCGGCUAACUACGUG